GAACCAUUAGCUCAGCUGGCAGAGCAUUUGACUUUUAAUCAAAGGGCCCGGGGUUCGAAUCCCCGAUGGUUCACCA
rnacentral:tRNA from 1 species